rnacentral:rRNA from 1 species
GGACUACCAGGGUUUCUAAUCCCGUUUGCUCCCCUAGCUUUCGCGCCUCAGCGUCAGAAGAGGUCCAGCAGCUCGCUUUCGCCACCGGCGUUCCUUCCAAUAUCAACGCAUUUCACCGCUCCACUGGAAGUUCCAGCUGCCCCUACCUCCCUCCAGCCGAUCAGUAUCCCAGGCACUUUUCCGGUUAAGCCGAAAGAUUUCACCCCAGACUUGAUCGACCGCCUACGCGCCCUUUAAGCCCAGUGAAUCCGAACAACGUUCGCACGGUUCGUCUUACCGCGGCUGCUGGCAC